rnacentral:rRNA from 1 species
UACGUAGGGUGCGAGCGUUAAUCGGAAUUACUGGGCGUAAAGCGUGCGCAGGCGGUUCGUGAUGUCUGAUGUGAAAGCCCCGGGCUCAACCUGGGAGUUGCAUUGGAAACUAGCGGGCUGGAGUGUGGCAGAGGGGGGUGGAAUUCCACGUGUAGCAGUGAAAUGCGUAGAGAUGUGGAGGAACACCGAUGGCGAAGGCAGCCCCCUGGGCUAACACUGACGCUCAUGCACGAAAGCGUGGGGAGCAAACAGG